rnacentral:lncRNA from 10 species
UUCCAUUCUUGAGAAAUGCAGAUCUCCCCUUCCAGUCUAAGACAAUUUUCCCUUUCUUCCCUUGCCUGGAUCACCACCUGGAUGAAAUGGAAAGCCACAUGUACAGUGUUUGAAGACUACCACAGAGCACCAUAUACAAAGUGAAAACAUUAAAAUAAAAUUUAAGAAACGUAUUUUGGCCUCCUACAGGGCCUAUAAUUAUCUCCUCUAUAAGUUUAUUGCCAUAACUUAGAAUUGUUUGAGGUUUGAAAAUAGAAGACAACCACUUGCAAAAAGAGAGUGGAGUUUGUUAAUGAUUAGAAAAGAAAGAAAAAGUAAAUAUACUCAGGAGGCCGAGUCAGGAAGAUCACCUGAACCCGGGGAGGUCAAGACUAAAUUGAACUGUGAUUGUACCAUUGUACUCCAGUGUGGGUGACUGACAGUGAGACCCUGUCUGAAAAAAAAAAUAAGUAAAUAAAAUUAUUCUUCAAUUAGGAUACUGCUAGUCUGCACUUGACAUCAGAUUUUUCUGUUUUUUUUUAAAGUUAAGUAUUUCAAGUUUGGUUAUUUUAACAAAUCUUCUUGAUAAUUGUAAAUAGUAGUAAGGUUAUAAAAUGUCUAUAAAAUAUUGUAAGUUGGGGGUUGUGGAGACAAAAGGAAAAUAAUUUAAAUUGAAAAGAGGAGCUGAAUUCUCUUUGUAGGUCAAGCAUGUGUUCUUGCUUAGAGGGACAGGAAUAAUUGUCAUGACGUUUGAAGGUGAUGGAGGCUUGACACACUAGCUAGCUUUGACAUAAAAUUAUACUGCCUCUCUUUAACAUGUCUGUCACAUGUAUCAGUCUUUUCUUUUCCUUCUCCUCCUGGGCAUCCUAGCUUCAGUUAGCCUAAUAACUCUCUUGGCUCUUAUCAGUCUGAUAACCCCAAUUUCAAGAUGAAUGAUAGGUCUUCUAUUAGAGACAAAUGGACAUUCACAUUGACAUUCAAUGAGGGCACCUUGCUCAGGCUUUUGAAAUUCAUCUUUUCUUUGAUUAUGCCUUUCACUAAGUCAAGAAAGCAGGGUUGGAGGAGGCAACAGAAAUGGGACAUUUUUUUUUUUCUGUUCUCCACCUCAUUUGUCA